UCAACAGGUAUUGUAUUCAAGCAUGCCGUCCAUGACUUCAGUCGUAAUACAUUUACGAUUAAAAACUAAGGAGGUGUGGUAAGGCAGGCAACAUUUUCCACAUGAACAAAGGCAGGAUGAGUGUUUGAAAUGUUGUACACCCAGUAAUUGAAGCUGUCACGCAUUCCGCAGGUGAACGCUUCCAGGUAUAAAAAGGCAAAGCGAUGCUCAUCUGGAUUAGUAUCACACCUGAGGAAAGCUGGUACUUUGAAGUCGUUCUGAUCAAGAUGAAGCUCAUUCUAUUUGUUCUUUUGUUGACUCUUUGCAGCACAGCUGCAGCAAUUGACUGUCAUUGCCAAUCAGCAGAAUGCGCUGGUCAGCCUAGCUGUUCCAGCUCAGAUAUGUGUUUUUCAGCGACCACAGAAGGUGGCACAAUCUAUAAGGGUUGUGCGAAACCAUCGCUGUGUCCAGCCGUAGGGACACAAAUAUACUCAGCAGACGAUGGAAAACACUUUGAAACUGUAACUGUUAUGUGCUGCGAUACAGAUAACUGCAACUCAGCUGAUUUAGCUUCACCAUACAAUCCUAGAGUUGAUACACUCAUCGAUUGUGAUUUCUGCAUCGCGGACACGUGUAACUUCACUGUACAUUGUAAGGGGAUGCAGAAUACAUGUUACCAAAUGAUUGCUGAUGGAAGCAAACAUAUGGGUUGUUCAACUACAAACAUGUGUGAUGCUCCUGAAGUCUACACAAAUCUACUCUUUCCCAAUAUCACCAUGAUCACCGAAGGACCAGAGUGUUGCCUCUCUUUUCCAUGUCCAACCACAACAACACCACCAAUAACAGAAUGGACAACAACAUCACAAUGGUCAGCAGCAGAAAACUAUACCACUGAAAAGUCAAUCAGUCACGAAGAUCUGCUGAUCAUCAUCCACGAACAGCUCCACCUGAUACAGGCGCAAUCGUUCCAACUCCAGAUGUUGCUCCAACCUCUGCUGCUUCUGAUUCAACACCUACUGCAUGUGAUUGGAUGUCUACCCCUCGCCGAACAAAUGCUUUUCCAGCCUAUCAUGUCCAUCAUACAGUACCUGUUGUACAUGAUACAGAUGAGCUGCACGGGGCAGCUUGUGUUAUUUUAGUAUCUCCAGUCAGGUCCCUGCUAACACCACAUUGUUAAAAAUUAAAGAUUGUUAAAGUUGAAAAACUCCUGGAUUUGCUGAAGUUCCCAUUUAUGUAAUUUGAACAAAUGUGUGGCCUUGUGAUAUCUGCUUAUAAUGUAACAUCAAACUACCCUUGAGCACCAGAUGACUACCAUGCUGCUCACUUUUUAUCUCUAUCUUUUCUUUGAUUGUGUGUAAUCAGUUGUUUUUAUUAAUUUAUUAGUUAUCACCUAACUCAGUCUCCUGAGUUUAUUUCUAGUGCUACUGUGUUCAUUUUUAAUCCACUCUGGUAAAAUGGUUUUAACAAUUUAUUUAAUCACUUUUACUUUUAUUGUUCAGCAUCACAACUAUGUAAUAUCAUUCAAUCUUUGCUGAAACAAUCAAUAAAGCUUAAUUUGAAGUCA
rnacentral:lncRNA from 1 species